rnacentral:rRNA from 1 species
AGCGAACGUUUGCGGCGGGCUUAACACAUGCAAGUCGAACGAGAAUCCCUUCGGGGAGGAAAGUGGCGCACGGGUGCGUAACACGUGGAUAACCAACCCAUUGGUUUGGGACAACACCGGGAAACUGGUGCUAAUACCAGAUGUGUCGCAGCUGUCUUCAGGCGGUUGCGAGAAAGGCCCGCAAGGGUCGCCAACGGACGGGUCCGCGUCCCAUCAGCUAGUUGGUGAGGUAAUGGCUCACCAAGGCAAAGACGGGUAGCUGGUCUGAGAGGAUGAUCAGCCACACUGGAACUGAGACACGGUCCAGACUCCUACGGGAGGCAGCAGUGGGGAAUAUUGCGCAAUGGGCGAAAGCCUGACGCAGCCACGCCGCGUGAGCGAUGAAGGUCUUCGGAUCGUAAAGCUCUGUGGGGGGAGAAGAAGAAAGCCGGUGAAGAGCCGGCCCUGACGGUAUCCCCUUAGCAAGCACCGGCUAACUCCGUGCCAGCAGCCGCGGUAAAG